rnacentral:rRNA from 1 species
CCUGGUUGAUCCUGCCAGUAGUCAUAUGCUUGUCUCAAAGAUUAAGCCAUGCAUGUGUAAGUAUGAGCAAUUCAGACUGUGAAACUGCGAAUGGCUCAUUAAAUCAGUUAUAGUUUGUUUGAUGGUAACUACUACUUUCGGAUAACCGUAGUAAUUCUAGAGCUAUCGUGCAACAAACCCGACUUCUGGAAGGGAUGCAUUUAUUAGAUAAAAGGUCGGCGCGGGCUCUGCCCGUUGCUCUGAUGAUGAUUCAUGAUAACUUCGGCGGAUCGCAUGGCCUUAGUGCUGGCGGCGCAUCAUUCAAAUUUCUGCCCUAUCAACUUUUCGAUGGUAGGAUAGUGGCCUACCAUGGUGGUAGCGGGUGGCGGAGAAUUAGGGUUCGAUUCGGAGAGGAGCCUGAAAAAGCGGCUACCACAUCCAAAAGGAAGGCAGCAGCGCGCGCAAAUUACCCAAUCGACCGCGGGGGUAGUGACAAUAAAUAAACAAUACCGGGCUCUUUGAGUCUGGUAAUUGGAAUAAUUACAAUCUAAAUCCCUUAACGAGGAUCCAUUGGAGGGCAAGUCUGGUGCCAGCAGCAGCGGGUAAUUCCAGCUCAAUAAGCGUAUAUUUAAGUUGUUGCAGUUAAAAAGCUUCGUAGUUGAACCUUGGGAUGGGUGCCCGGUCCGCCGGGUGAGCACCGGUCGGCUUGUCUCUUCUGUCGGCGAUCGCUCCUGGCCUUAACUGGCGGGUUAGUGCCUCGGCGCUGUUACUUUGAAGAAAUUAGAGUGCUCAAAAGCAAGCCUAAACUCUGUAUACAUUAGCAUGGGGGAUAACAUCAUAGGAUUUCGAUCCUAUUGUGUUGUGCCGGGGAUCGGAGUAAUGAUUAACGGGGGACAGUCGGGGGCAUUAAUUAUUUCAUAGUCGGAGGUGAAAUUCUUGGAUUUAUGAAAGGCGAACAACUGCGAAAAGCAUUUGCCAAGGAUGUUUUCAUUAAUCAAAACGAAAGUUGGGGGCUCGAAGGCGAUCGAUCAUCUACCGUCCUAGUCUCAACCAUAAGCGAUGCCGACCAGGGGAUCAGCGGAUGUUGCUUUUAGGACUCCGCUGGCACCUUAUGAAAAUCAAAGUUUUUUGGGUUCGGGGGGUAUGGUGCAUGGGCUGAAACUUAAAGGAAUUGGCGGAAGGGCACCACCAGGGGAGUGGAGCCUGCGGCUUAAUUUGACUCAACACGGGGAAACUUACCAGGUCGGACAUAGUAAGGAUUGACAGACUGAGAGCUCUUUCUUGAUUCUAUGGGUGGUGGUGCAUGGCGUUCUUAGUUGGUGGAAGCGAUUUGUCUGGUUAAUUCCGUUAACGAGCGAGACCUCAGCCUGCUAACUAGCUUCGUGGAGGCAUCCCUUCACGGCCGGCUUCUUAGAGGGACUAUGGCCGUUUAGGCCAAAGGAAGUUUGAGGCAAUAACAGGUCUGUGAUGCCCUUAGAUGUUCUGGGCGCCGCAGCGCAUACACUGAUGUAUUCAUUCGAGUUCACACCCUGGCUUGGGACAGGCCGGGUAAUCUUUGAAAUUUCAUCGUGAUGGGGAUAGAUCAUUGCAAUUGUUGGUCUUCUUCGAGGAAUUCCUAGUAAAAAGCGCGAGUCAUCAGCUCGCGUUGACUCGUCCCUGCCCUUUGUACACACCGCCCGUCGCUCCUACCGAUUGAAUGAUCCGGUGAAGUGUUGGGAUCGCGGCGGCGUGGAGGGUGGUUAAGCCGUCUCUGGCGUCGCGAAAGUCCACUAAACCUUAUCAUUUAGAGGAAGGAGAAAUUAAACACAAAGGUUUCCGUGGGUGAACCUGCGGAAG